UACGUAGGGGGCAAGCGUUGUCCGGAUUUAUUGGGUUUAAAGGGUGCGUAGGCGGUUCUGUAAGUCAGCGGUGAAAGACUAGAGCUUAACUCUGGAAUUGCCAUUGAUACUGUAGGGCUUGAGUAUAGUUGCUGUGGGCGGAAUAUGACAUGUAGUGGUGAAAUACUUAGAGAUGUCAUAGAACACCGAUUGCGAAGGCAGCUCACAAAACUAUAACUGACACUGAGGCUCGAAAGUGCGGGGAUCAAACAGG
rnacentral:rRNA from 1 species